CCCUUAGAUGUUCUGGGCCGCACGCGCGCUACACUGACGAAUGCAACGAGCAUAUAACCUUGGCCGAAAGGUCUGGGUAAUCUCCAAAUUUCGUCGUGAUGGGGAUAGAUUAUUGCAAUUAUUAAUCUUCAACGAGGAAUGCCUAGUAAGCGCAAGUCAUCAGCUUGCGUUGAUUACGUCCCUGCCCUUUGUACACACCGCCCGUCGCUCCUACCGAUUGAAUGGUCCGGUGAAGCGUUCGGACCGUGGCCUUUGGACGGUUCGCCGUCUGUUGGCUGCGGGAAGUUCGUUAAACCUUAUCAUUUAGAGGAAGGAGAANUCGUANCA
rnacentral:rRNA from 1 species